UACGGAGGGAGCUAGCGUUGUUCGGAAUUACUGGACGUAAAGCGCGCGUAGGCGGCUUUGUAAGUUAGAGGUGAAAGCCCGGAGCUCAACUCCGGAACUGCCUUUAAAACUGCAUCGCUUGAAUCCAGGAGAGGUGAGUGGAAUUCCGAGUGUAGAGGUGAAAUUCGUAGAUAUUCGGAAGAACACCAGUGGCGAAGGCGGCUCACUGGACUGGUAUUGACGCUGAGGUGCGAAAGCGUGGGGAGCAAACAGG
rnacentral:rRNA from 1 species